CCAGCAAUACGGUGCGUUUUGAUGCUUCCUUCCCGCUUGGGCUAGUUGACAGUUAAGAAGCCACCAAAACGCUGCGUUUUCGAUUCAAAACCCUCUCCAAAAACCCUGAUUCAGCUCCGUGGCCCAUAUUGGCGGCAAAGCUGUUGUUGCUUAAACAGACUCUGCAACUCUUCCCCUUCCAGUUCUUCGAUCUGAAGCUCAACAGCUUUGUGGGAGAAGAUAGCUUCAAAUGUACAACAGCCUGUGGAGCUACCACCUGCAAUUUAGAAGAUUCAGAUAUACUCUUCCUCCAAUAAUGGAGUUUUCUUUCUUUCUUUUUUUUUUUUUUCAAUCGCGAGUAUUCUAACAUAUCAUGCCAAAGAACAUACUGAGUUCAUAUUCUUGAAUGAGAUUCAGAUGCUCACAUAUCUCAUUCUUGCAGAGAAGUUUGAAAGAGACGCUAAGAAGUACUGGGAUAUCUUUUACAAAAAGCAUCAACACAGAGUCAAAGCAAACAAUAUCUACUCGCGAUGGGCUUGAGCUAUUACAUUUCUAUUGAAAAAUGUGGCUCAAGUUGGCAAAAGGAUUGGUUUGCUUAAUGCAGACACAUAAAAGACUUCAAUGAGAGCCAUGUUGCUGCCUUUGUUUGUGAUCUUACUGCUGAUAACUUGAGAAACCACAUUACUCCAUCAUCGAUUCAUGGUUUUUAUUGUGUAUGCAGUUUCCACAGAGAAGAUGUCCCAGGUGUGGCAUAAUCUAGCACUCAUUGAGUUCCUACUUUUUUCAUAGGCUUCUACUGCAAAAGAGUUGUUCUAGAUCUCGUCUAGUAAGGAUACAGAAUGUGCAUCGAUUCUUUGCCACGUCCUGCGUCAAGUCGAUGAGCCAACGAUCGUUUCAGCUGCUAAACGAUUCGGUUUUAUCCCAAAUCAAUGUGAGUUCUUGGUUCACUGAUAGAUACUAGGAUAUCCCCAGUACUGCUUUGAAUAUUAUGUAUUUUCAUAAUUCAUAUCAGCUUUCCUUUUAAUAUAUGUCAAGGGGCGUAGAAUCAUUAUGUGAAUUCCUUUUAAUACUGGAAGGUUUUGAGU